rnacentral:rRNA from 1 species
GUCUAUAGCCAUGCCAUCCUGAACAUGCUCGAUCUUAUCUGAUCUUGGAAGCUAAGCAGGGUUGGGCCUGGUUAAUUCUUGAAUGGGAGAGCACUUAGGAAUACCAGGUGCUGUAGGCU